rnacentral:rRNA from 1 species
AUUAAACGCUGGCGGCAUGCCUUACACAUGCAAGUCGAACGGCAGCACGGGGGCAACCCUGGUGGCGAGUGGCGGACGGGUGAGUAAAGCAUCGGAACGUAUCCUGGAGUGGGGGAUAACGUAGCGAAAGUUACGCUAAUACCGCAUAUUCUGUGAGCAGGAAAGCAGGGGAUCGCAAGACCUUGCGCUCUGGGAGCGGCCGAUGUCGGAUUAGCUAGUUGGUGGGUAAAGGCCUACCAAGGCGACGAUCCGUAGCGGGUCUGAGAGGAUGAUCCGCCACACUGGGACUGAGACACGGCCCAGACUCCUACGGGAGGCAGCAGUGGGGAAUUUUGGACAAUGGGCGCAAGCCUGAUCCAGCCAUGCCGCGUGAGUGAAGAAGGCCUC